rnacentral:tRNA from 1 species
GCCAGUUUGGCCGAGUGGUUAAGGCGGUGGUCUUAAGCACCAUUAUCGAAAGAUUCACAGGUUCGAACCCUGUAGCUGGCA